GCCCACGGUGGGAGGUUGGGAAGGACAUUCCCCCAUUUCCAUUUGCUCUGCCAUUCAAAACCUUGUGAGGGCCCUCAGGGAAGAAUCCCUUUGCAGAUGAGGAAACUGAGGCCCCACGUGGUGAAGUGGCAGAUCUGAUUCUAGAGCCCAGGUGCCCUCAGUGUCAGCCCCUGUCAUUCUGACCAUGCUGCACUCAGAUCUUGUUCUACUCUCUGGAGUUUGUCCACAUCACAGUUUUCUGGUAGCUCAUCGACAAUUUUUACCCGAAUCCACCCACAAGAAGAGACCAUUUGGAUAAUGUACAUUAUGGGAAGAGAACGGAGUCUCAGUGAAGAUCAUGUUUCCCCAGCAACACAGGUGCCAGGAGUAGCUGGCUCUGGUCCCAGCCCAGACUCAGAAAUCCUGAGCCACCAGACCAUUUCUAGAUUAACAAUGACCCACUGGAAACCAGUGUCAGCAUAACAACAGUUACGAGAGCUAAACCUACAAAAUAGAAACACAAGUAAAACUUGUUCAAGUGGUUUGCAGUCAUUGAACAUAGAUCAGCUCCUAUGAAAACAAACUCCAUGGGACCAGCCUUUUGAGUGCUUCAGUGAGAGAUUUUAUGCAGAAUCGCAGCCAAGACAAAAAGACAAUCUGAGAGCAGGC